UACGGGGGGGGCAAGCGUUGUUCGGAAUUACUGGGCGUAAAGGGCUCGUAGGCGGCCAACUAAGUCGGAUGUGAAAUCCCCAGGCUUAACCUGGGAACUGCAUCCGAUACUGGAUGGCUUGAAUCCGGGAGAGGGAUGCGGAAUUCCAGGUGUAGCGGUGAAAUGCGCAGAUAUCUGGAGGAACACCGGUGGCGAAGGCGGCAUCCUGGACCGGCAUUGACGCUGAGGAGCGAAAGCCAGGGGAGCAAACGGG
rnacentral:rRNA from 1 species